UGGGUAAUAAGUGGUAUCAGAGUGAGUGCUCUAUUAUUAGUUGUUGAUCUUAGGUCUAGAGUAAAAGAUCUUACAAUCCAAAAUAAAAUUUUUUCUUAAUGAAGAUUACUCUAUAGAUAGAUUCCCAAUUCUUAAUGAAUCUAAUUAUACUUAUUGAAAAAUUAAGAUAAAUUUUUUUAUACAAUCAUAUGAUUAUAAUUUAUAGAAGAUUAUAGUUAAUGACUCAUACAACUCUAACCUACUAAUUGAGCAUAA
rnacentral:lncRNA from 1 species